rnacentral:misc_RNA from 1 species
AUAUCUCAACCACAUAUUUUGAUGUGUGGCUUGGACUUGGAGGAAACGUGCAGGCUCUGACUCUUGUAGUCUGCUCCUCUGAAAAACAUAAGCGGUACCUAUAUUGGGACUUUGGCUAGGUGUGAUACACAUCUGCAUCUAAUCGAGUUAGCCCGUUGGUCAUGCUGCUGAUCAUUACAACUUGAUGA